AUGAACGCUGGCGGCGUGCCUCACACAUGCAAGUCGCACGAAGCACCUUACCUGAUUCUUCGGAUGAAAGUUUGGUGACUGAGUGGCGGACGGGUGAGUAACGCGUGGGUAACCUGCCCUGUACAGGGGGAUAACAGCUGGAAACGGCUGCUAAUACCGCAUAAGCGCACGAGGAGACAUCUCCUUGUGUGAAAAACUCCGGUGGUACAGGAUGGGCCCGCGUCUGAUUAGCUGGUUGGCAGGGUAACGGCCUACCAAGGCAACGAUCAGUAGCCGGUCUGAGAGGAUGAACGGCCACAUUGGAACUGAGACACGGUCCAAACUCCUACGGGAGGCAGCAGUGGGGAAUAUUGCACAAUGGGGGAAACCCUGAUGCAGCAACGCCGCGUGAGUGAAGAAGUAUUUCGGUAUGUAAAGCUCUAUCAGCAGGGAAGAUAAUGACGGUACCUGACUAAGAAGCUCCGGCUAAAUACGUG
rnacentral:rRNA from 1 species